rnacentral:misc_RNA from 1 species
UAGGAUUUAUAUCUUGUAUUCAACAGUAACAGAUUAUCUCAAUAAAAUACUGUUUAAACCAACAGUAAAAGUUUCAUGUUAACUUUUGAAGACAUUGUUAUUAUAUAUAAUUUUGUUAAUUCUAUUAGAGCGGUUAAUGAAUACUUUCUAUUGCUGAUGGAUACAAGAAAGCGUUUCCUCGCCAUUGUCUUCUGUUACACGUAUGUCAAACCUACGGAGACAGUUACAUUGUUUAUAACGUAAACCCAAGUAUGAAUUUCUCUAACUUGUGAGCGGAAUUUUGUGUUGGAAUCCCUUAAUGGGACAUUCCUUAGGUGUGCUAACUGCCGCUAGUGUAAGCGAUUUUAUUCAGACUUCACAAAUUUACAACAGCCAGACUUUCAAUUAUGUGCCACAAUGUAUCAUUUAUUAUUAACUUUAAAUCCAACCUCUAACUAAUGCUUAAUCAAUGUAACGGGAAAGAAAGUAUUUUAACAAUAAAUAAGGAAGUUUUAAUUGUUAAUAAUUAUAAUGUCAUACGUUACAGCAAAUGUUAGAUUCCUUCAACGAGUUCGGAAGUGCCACCAUCAUUACACUUAAGAAACAAUUAAAUUUGUCAUUAAAGCUAGAUGAGAAGUGCACAAAUUCACACCCUGGUCAUAUUUGAUAUGUAGAUUACCGCAAUAACUUUUAAUAAUUUGAAUAUGGGAAUGGCUCAGAAUAUUUAUUUUUUUUUCAGAACUUUUCUUAUUGUUUUAUUAAUAUUGAUCUUGUUUGGAAAAGGCACUGUCGGCGUGAACCAAUGCGGAAGUCUGAAGAUAGAACAGCCGACUAUAUUGGGCAGAAAUGUUACUUUUACAUUUACUCCGGAAACAACCUCAGACGCAGACCUCAAAUGGCAGCGGGCAAAAAAAGGAUAUCCAUGGCUUCCGCUUCCAAAUAAUAACAAGUUUACACAGUAUUUCCAAGAUGGUACAUAUUACUUGAUUUUAACUGACACAGACAAAGGCAAUGACGAAGUAUUUUACCGUGUUGUUUAUACGAACAAUAGCGUAAACUGUUCAAUGGAGACUCCAAGACUUCAGCUUCGAGAUAUACCAAGUUAUACAUGUGGGCUUGUCUACCUAAGAACAACAAAAGUAAGAGAAGACGAGAACGUAGAACUAGAAUAUUAUCCAUCGGAAUAUGUUAUGAAAUAUCCAGAACGCUAUGUACGACAGUGGAAGCGUGCUACACAGAAUAGCACUUUUUCAAUACGUUUGACGAAAGAUGUGUAUGAGGAAGAAAAGGAACCGAAUGAGAAAUAUGUGUUGACUAUAAUCAUGUUGAAUGAGCGAAUGAAUGGUCGAUAUGGAGUUUUCUGCGGCGAAUCAGCGGGCUUCUCAAAUUUCGUCGAAGUGAUAAUUCAAGUUCCACCAAGUGCACCAGUAUUUGAAGGUUUAAAGGACAUAGACGACAGUAAGGGGUGUAUUGUUGGUGAGGAUAAGGAUAAAUUCAGCGUUCUCUGUAAGACAAGUGGUGGUACACAACCAAUAAAAGUCACCAUGUCCAUAGGGAAUGAAUCGCUAAGCCCACAACGAUUUAAUGAAACAGCGGGUUACAUAACAUACUUUAUUCUUCGCAACAGACAUCAUAUGGCAAUUAUGAAAUGCACAGUUAUGAACGAUGCAUUAACCUCACCUUUAAUCACCACUGCACGUGUGUAUGUUAUCAAAACACCAACAUUACAGUUAUUGGUACCACAGAUUCUCAAGGAAGGAAAUAUCGGUACUAUUACAUGCAUACUGAAUGGUGGAAGACCUGCUCCGAAUGUAACUUUAAACAUUUCCAGUAUGGAAGUGCCGUCUGUACUCAAAACAGAAAGUUACAAUGCUACCACAUCUUUAUACACGAGUGUUGUUUCCCUGACAACAUUUGAACGAAUUUGGAAUAGUGAAAACGUCGCAUGUUGUUGUUUCAAUGAAUGGUACAAGAUCACUAACGCUUGUUCCCCACCGCAACGGAUUAAUUUUAUGUUUCCACCUGAAGACAUCAAACUGGAGGUCAAAGUUGAGCAAAAACUUCCACUUGAAAUAUACGCCGUUUGUACCAUCUACAAUUCAAACCCAGAAUGUGGGGUAAACAUUAGUGCACCAAACGGAAUCAUUGUUUCAGAACGUUAUACCAGAAACGUUAGCUUACCUCAUGGCGCCUGGAAUUCGGAAUAUGCAGUAAAUUUAAAUGUCGGUAAAGACGACGAUGGUGAAAAGAUAAAGUGCACAGCUGACUGUCAGAAGUUUGCUGUCGACUUGAAGGACGUGCACUCGAUCGUAUUGCCUCAUGCACCUAUCAUUGAAUUCAACAUAUCUGGUUCAGAACUUGCAAUUUUACAAGGAGAAAAUGCACACGUAAAAUGCUCAGCAGAAAGCAUUCCUGCCUCAAACAUUGACUGGAUGGAGCAAACAGAUUGUGGAAACAUAACUAUGAAGCAAUGCCAAUUGAAAACAGACUGUGUCAUUGCUGUUGAAGCAAAUCUUAUGCAACAACGAAAGUUUAUUUGCAAGACUCAUUAUUUACAAGCAACAAACCAAAAGACCUUGACUAGAAAGAUGAGAAACAUUACAAAGACAUGAACAACUCUGCCUCUUUAGAUAACUCAUCUAUUUGGAUUAUUCUUGGCUCUUGUUCAGCUGUCCUCUUUGUUGUUGUUGUCAUCGUAUGCCUUAUUGCAAUAAAAAAAUUCAGGGACACUAAAGCUGAACUGGAAGUAUACAAAGUGAGAUUCAGUGCAAACCCAGAUAGAAUUAG